AUUGAACGCUGGCGGCAGGCCUAACACAUGCAAGUCGAGCGGAUGAAGGGAGCUUGCUCCUGGAUUCAGCGGCGGACGGGUGAGUAAUGCCUAGGAAUCUGCCUGGUAGUGGGGGAUAACGUCCUGAAACGGGCGCUAAUACCGCAUACGUCCUGCGGGAGCAAGUGGGGGAUCUUCGGACCUCACGCUCUCAGAUGAGCCUAGGUCGGAUUUGCUAGUUGGUGGGGUAAAGGCCUACCAAGGCGACGAUCCGUAACUGGUCUGAGAGGAUGAUCAGGCACACUGGAACUGAGACACGGUCAAGACGCCUAAGGGAGGCAGCAGAGGGGAAUAUUGGACAAUGGGCGAAAGCCUGAUCCAGCCAGGCCGAGUGUGUGAAGAAGGUCUUCGGAGUGUAAAGCACGUUAAGGUGGGAGGAAGGGCAGUAAGUUAAUACCUUGCUGGUUUGACGUUACCAACAGAAUAAGCACCGGCUAACUUCGUG
rnacentral:rRNA from 1 species